CUGGGAAUAAACAAGAAAACCGAAAAUCCCCAUAUGUCUGGAAUUGAAACAAAACACUUCUGAGUGUUUAAUGGUUUGAUGAAGAAAUCACAGUGGAAAUGAGAAAAUCUACUGAACUGAAUGGAUGGCUUUCAGUGAUUUGCAAUGGAGAGACAUGCAGGCUCCAUGGAGCAUUUGGGGUGGUGAAUGGUAAGAAGAAAAGUCCUGGGAAUCCUGGAAAGCUAAGUUCAUAUCUCAACUUUUUUUUUUUUUUUUUUUUUGGUUUCACUUCUGCAUUUAUCACUUUUUUUAAAAUAUAAAUUUCUUCCUUUCUUCCUUUCUUCCUUUCUUUUAUUGGCUGUGUUGGGUCUUUUUUACUGUGUGCCAGCUUUCUUUUUAGUUGUGGUGAGUGGGGGCUACUCUUCGUCGCGGUGCAGGGGCUCCUUGUUACCCUGGCUUCUCUUGUUGCGGAGCACCGGUUCUAGGCGCAUGGACUUCAGUAUUUGCAGCACAUGGGCUCAGUAGUUGUGGCACAGUGGCUUAGUUGCUCCGUGGCAUGUGGGAUCUUCCUGGAGCAGGGAUCGAACCCGUGUCCUCUGCAUUGGCAGGUGGAUUCUCAACCACUGUGCCACCUAGGAAGCCCCAUAUCUCAACUUCUUACUCACACUUAUUUGGGGUUGUGUUCUCUGUUUGUUUUGUUUGUUUUAUUAAAAGAAAAUGUCUUAAAAGUGCAUAUCUGAAGGCUUUUGCUUGUAGCUGUCUGGAAACCAUCAAACCCCGCAGCUAGACAAUCAGGUUAGUUCUGGGCCCUAUCCCAGAGCCAAUGGGUCCUUAAAGAGGAAGCUAUAGUCUAAGAGAAGGCAAAGGGAAUUUGGAGGGCUGGGGAUUCAAGUACUACAAAGACAGGGUAGAGGAAUGUGAGAAAGGGAAGGAAGAGCACUGAGACUACUUCUCUGUCCCACUUGGUUCUGUUCUAAUACGUAGAAAAAAAGAGAUUAACUAGGAAGCAACUAGAAAUUAGAUUUUUAGCAAGCUUUUAGUGAUUUCUCAUCAAGUGACACAUGCGAUAUUUAGUGUUCCCAAUGAGUUGCACUAAAAUUAUUUUUACAUUUCUGGACAUCUGUGGAAUGUUAAAUGUGUUCCUAAAUAUUAGAUAUAAUUACAAGGAAAUAUGUUUAUGUAAAUCUAUUUGGUAACAGGUUCUGAGGAGUUUCGUUUUAAUCGGGAUUUUGGAUUAUACAUGACUUUGAUUUGUCUCCUUUAUCCUCAGUGAUCGAGAGCUGACUGUAUUGGGUGGACAUACCAGAUCUCUUUGAACCUUGGUUUCUUGAUGUAUUGAAAAAUGAAGCCAAUACCUCUAUCACUCAGGAUAUUUCUGCAGCACUAGGAGAAGAGACUGAACCAAUAUUUAUGAGAAUGAACAACUCUAAGGAUGGGAAAAUAAUUUUACCUACAGCAACUUGGUAGUUGGAGAGAAGCCUUGUUGAGUGGAGGUGACCUGGACAUUCCAAGACUUUGAGCAGCCACCAGGCUUCUUUGUCUCUGCACUCCUUCCUCCCCCUGUACAGAAUGGCUUGGGACUGCACUUUGAAGAAGAUGCACACAGAACCCUGUCUGCAGAUCAAUAUAAUCAGUACACCAUCAGGUGUCCUGAUUUGAGGUACCAGAGGCUGUUUUACAAUGCUGGACCACAGGGUGGAGGCGUGGCUUAGUCUAAUCACUAGGAGUCAACCUGCCUUUCAAGGGAAGAACCUCAUCAUCUGAGGUCUAAGUUAUUGAAAUAGCCUUUCCUCUGCCUGAGGCCCUCUGCUAACUGCUGUCCCAGAAUCUUCCUACAUCUUGGUGGAAAGUGACUCCCUGUUGCCUAUUCCUCAGAUUCAACACCUCUGGAUUUCAAAUCACUCAUGGUCUGGCUUCCCCCUCUUAAAUACAAUAAAUGGUAAAAUGUUUUAUUUAUAUCAAAAUAAUGAUUUGGAGAGUACAUUUGUACUCAUCAUUCAGUUUAAGAGACAAAAUACCUGAGUAUCCCUCCUCCAUUGUAUUCUCCUCUUAAUCCCAAAGGUGGCUACUGUUCUGAAUUUGCAUUUAUUAUUUCCAUGUAGUUUGUCAUCAUUUUACUACAAAUAUAUUUAUUCAUAUGGCAUUAUUUGCAUGAUUUAAAACCUGAUAUAAAUAGUAGCAUUAUUAUAUGUAUUAUGCAAAAAGUUUCACGUCUCGUUAUUGUUUUUGUGAGAUUUUCCAUGCAUAAAUAUGAAUAGCUCUACUUCCCUUGUUUCCCUGGUGAGUAGUACCCCAUUGCUAGAAUGCA